UACGUAGGGGGCAAGCGUUGUCCGGAAUCAUUGGGCGUAAAGAGCGCGUAGGCGGCCCAGUAAGUCCGCUCUGAAAGUCAGGGGCUCAACCCCUGAAUGCGGGUGGAUACUGCUGGGCUAGAGUCCGGAAGAGGCGAGUGGAAUUCCUGGUGUAGCGGUGAAAUGCGCAGAUAUCAGGAGGAACACCGAUGGCGAAGGCAGGUCUCUGGGCAUUAACUGACGCUGAGGAGCGAAAGCAUGGGGAGCGAACAGG
rnacentral:rRNA from 1 species